rnacentral:rRNA from 1 species
AUUGACGCUGGCGGCAGGCCUAACACAUGCAAGUCGAACGAGCGGCGGACGGGUGAGUAAUGUCUGGGGAUCUGCCCGAUGGAGGGGGAUAACUACUGGAAACGGUGGCUAAUACCGCAUACUAUCGGAUGAACCCAUAUGGGAUUAGCUAGUAGGUGGGGUAACGGCUCACCUAGGCGACGAUCUCUAGCUGGUCUGAGAGGAUGAUCAGCCACACUGGAACUGAGACACGGCCCAGACUCAUACGGGAGGCAGCAGUAGGGAAUAUUCGGCAAUGGACGAAAGCCUGACCGAGCAACGCCGCGUGAGUGAAGAAGGUCUUCGGGUCGUAAAGUUCUUUUGGUAGAGAAGCGUUAUCUAACGAGAAAGCCACGGCUAACUACGUGCCAGCAGCCGCGGUAAUAC